AUGGUUGAAGGCUUUCUCUGCUGUUAUUGGUAUUUCACAGCUUUGGUUAAGAAAACUAGUUGGAAGGAGGGUAGUUUAAGGAGGCUAAAGGGGUCUGACUUGUUUUCAAGUGUGAAGCCUGGGUAUCCAUGCUAUACAGUCAACAGCGUGCUGGUUUUGUACCUGUUCACCCUCCUUGUUACUUUGAAAACUUCAAGAACAACUUGUACAAUGGUUCAACUUGGUGACAUUCAGCCUGCACGUCUUCAUACAGAGGAUUCAAUACAAGAAACAAGCUGUGUUGGAAAGUACGAGACAGCUCUGUGCCACAGCAUGGCUUUGGAUAACUUUGCAGGUGUGUUAGCAUGA
rnacentral:lncRNA from 1 species